rnacentral:rRNA from 1 species
AUUGGACGCUGGCGGCAGGCCUAACACAUGCAAGUCGAGCGGAUGAAGGGAGCUUGCUCCUGGAUUCAGCGGCGGACGGGUGAGUAAUUCCUAGGAAUCUGCCUGGUAGUGGGGGAUAACGUCCGGAAACGGGCGCUAAUACCGCAUACGUCCUGAGGGAGAAAGUGGGGGAUCUUCGGACCUCACGCUAUCAGAUGAGCCUAGGUCGGAUUAGCUAGUUGGUGGGGUAAAGGCCUACCAAGGCGACGAUCCGUAACUGGUCUGAGAGGAUGAUCAGUCACACUGGAACUGAGACACGGUCCAGACUCCUACGGGAGGCAGCAGUGGGGAAUAUUGGACAAUGGGCGAAAGCCUGAUCCAGCCAUGCCGCGUGUGUGAAGAAGGUCUUCGGAUUGUAAAGCACUUUAAGUUGGGAGGAAGGGCAGUAAGUUAAUACCUUGCUGUUUUGACGUUACCAACAGAAUAAGCACCGGCUAACUUCGUG